AUUGAACGCUGGCGGCAGGCUUAACACAUGCAAGUCGAGCGGGGGAGGUUGCUUCGGUAACUGACCUAGCGGCGGACGGGUGAGUAAUGCUUAGGAACCUGCCUAUUAGUGGGGGACAACAUUCCGAAAGGGAUGCUAAUACCGCAUACGCCCUACGGGGGAAAGCAGGGGAUCUUCGGACCUUGCGCUAAUAGAUGAGCCUAAGUCGGAUUAGCUAGUUGGUGGGGUAAAGGCCUACCAAGGCGACGAUCUGUAGCGGGUCUGAGAGGAUGAUCCGCCACACUGGGACUGGGACACGGCCCAGACUCCUACGGGAGGCAGCAGUGGGGAAUAUUGGACAAUGGGCGGAAGCCUGAUCCAGCCAUGCCGCGUGUGUGAAGAAGGCCUUUUGGUUGUAAAGCACUUUAAGCGAGGAGGAGGCUCUUAAGGUUAAUACCCUUGAUGAGUGGACGUUACUCGCAGAAUAAGCACCGGCUAACUCUGUGCCAGCCGCCGCCGUAACAC
rnacentral:rRNA from 1 species